ACUCAAAUGAAUUGACGGGGGCCCGCACAAGCGGAGGAACAUGUGGUUUAAUUCGAUGAUACGCGAGGAACCUUACCUGGGCUUAAAUGUGAGACGACCGCCGAAGAAAUUUGGCUUUCCGCAAGGACGACUUACAAGGUGCUGCAUGGUUGUCGUCAGCUCGUGCCGUGAGGUGUCGGGUUAAGUCCCAUAACGAGCGCAACCCUUAUGAUUAGUUGCUAACAGGUCAAGCUGAGGACUCUAGUCAGACUGCCACCGUAAGGUGUGAGGAAGGUGGGGAUGACGUCAAAUCAGCACGGCCCUUAUGUCCAGGGCUACACACGUGUUACAAUGGCCGAUACAGAGGGCAGCGACCAAGCGAUUGGGAGCUAAUCCGGAAAAGUCGGUCUCAGUUCGGAUCGGAGUCUGCAACCCGACUCCGUGAAGCUGGAUUCGCUAGUAAUCGCGCAUCAGCCAUGGCGCGGUGAAUACGUUCCCGGGCCUUGUACACACCGCCCGU
rnacentral:rRNA from 1 species